rnacentral:rRNA from 1 species
GAUGAACGCUGGCGGCGUGCCUAAUACAUGCAAGUCGAGCGAACGGACGAGAAGCUUGCUUCUCUGAUGUUAGCGGCGGACGGGUGAGUAACACGUGGAUAACCUACCUAUAAGACUGGGAUAACUUCGGGAAACCGGAGCUAAUACCGGAUAAUAUUUUGAACCGCAUGGUUCAAAAGUGAAAGACGGUCUUGCUGUCACUUAUAGAUGGAUCCGCGCUGCAUUAGCUAGUUGGUAAGGUAACGGCUUACCAAGGCAACGAUGCAUAGCCGACCUGAGAGGGUGAUAGGCCACACUGGAACUGAGACACGGUCCAGACUCCUACGGGAGGCAGCAGUAGGGAAUCUUCCGCAAUGGGCGAAAGCCUGACGGAACAACGCCGCGUGAGUGAUGAAGGUCUUCGGAUCGUAAAACUCUGUUAUUAGGGAAGAACAUAUGUGUAAGUAACUGUGCACAUCUUGACGGUACCUAAUCAGAAAGCCACGGCUAACUACGUG